rnacentral:lncRNA from 10 species
AUUUAUUCAACAUGAUGAUCAAAAAUUCAAAAUAAGUAAACUAUGUGACCUACCAAAAAUGAUUUUGAUAGUGGACUAUGGAAUUCUAACCAUAUCUGAGAUGCCUCAGUUUGAAGACAGUGGCUGAGCCUGGCAAUGAUGGGACCUGGGUCAAGAAGGAGCACCAGGACGGAGACCUCUUCCGUCAUUCCAGCAAGAUAACUCCACAAGAAGCAGAAGCUCUCGCCUCCCUGGAUGGGGGAAUCUGGUGCAUCCCCAAAUCCUCCCAGGAGG